CGAGCAUAGAGGUCUACGAAAAUUGGUCAUCCGUGAGGCGUCCAAUUUAUUUUGUGGCCGGAUUUCACGCCGCUUCUUUGGUGGAUGGAUGAUGAUUUUAUUGUUUAGAGCGUGAAAAGAUAAAUUGAGCUUUGAAUAGUGAACAGUAUAUAUUUUGUUGGAUACGUUUGUGAUAUAUUCGAUAGUUGAUGUGAUCUGUUUACAAUUAAUUAUUAAAAUUAAUGGAAAGAGAAAUCUUGUAAGAAGAUUUUUUAAUUGCUCUUUCAUAUUUUCUAUCACGUUUGAACAUGAUACAUUAAUAAUGAAUGUUAUAUAUAUUUUUUUGUAAAAAAUUCUUUAGAGAAUUUGCAUAGAAAUCAUAAUUUUUCGCUUAUGGAAUAUAGAAUAUACACGUUUUAUAAUACACAUGCGAAGAAGAGAAGUAGUGGCAAAAAUGAUGACGGGGUUUUCGUUACGACUUGUGAUACACGAACUGAUGAUUAUCGCGAAGUCCAAGUUGGAUCAGAUAAUGUUACAGGAAGCUGUAAUCUUCGCCAAUCGUUUUUAGAGAAGUUAAAUAAUAAUAAAUUUAUUAUUAUCGGUAUUAAUUUUUUAGAUAACAAUAAGAGAAUUUGAGAAAUUCGAGAUAUUAUGGUCCGGUAUUGAGACCGACCAACACCAAUCAUUAACAAGAUUUGGAAGGUUACGUUGUACAGAAUUUCGUGGCUAAAUCUGAGAAGAUCCUUUUGUCAAAGCCCAUCCCGAAAGAGGAUGCUCUCACUUUGUGGUCUGCAAAUGGCUACGAAAUUUGUGCUCCCCAAAGUACCUCUCCUGGACAUAUGUCCAGUUUAUACAACAAAAGACUUGAAUAACAUUUUGUUAUAUAUACUUUUAACGGAUUUGCACAUCGUUUGACAAAUUUUUUUUUGUAUAAAAAUAUUUAUAUAAGAAUUUGGUUGG